AUCUCACAAGUCAGAUGCAGGCAUGAGGACAGAUGGAGAAACAUCACAGAGCCGUCAUUUCUGGAAAUUGACUCAACACAGGGGAUCUAAGCUGACAGAGCUGGGAUUCAGAGCUAUGCCUUCCAGCUCCCUAACACAGGCUUGAGCAGGUAGACACUUGUGUCAUUCAAAAAGAACUGUGAAGAGGAAGAACAACUGACUCAGAAGUAGCUCACGGGAAAACAGCAACAGCAAAUACACAGAACGGCCUCACUGUUUACUUGGCACUCCAAGUAGUUCCUCAUAUCCAUAACCAUCAUUUCAUUAUUCAUCAUAUUACAAAUGUUACAAAACC
ensembl:processed_transcript 1700066O22Rik RIKEN cDNA 1700066O22 gene